GGCGAACGGGUGAGGAACACGUGAAGAAUCUGCCUUCAACUCUGGGAUAACUCCGGGAAACCGGGGCUAAUACCGGAUAUGAGCCUUGGCCGCAUGGCCGGGGCUGGAAAGUUUUUCGGUUGAAGAUGACUUCGCGGCCUAUCAGCUUGUUGGUGAGGUAACGGCUCACCAAGGCGACGACGGGUAGCCGGCCUGAGAGGGCGACCGGCCACACUGGGACUGAGACACGGCCCAGACUCCUACGGGAGGCAGCAGUGGGGAAUAUUGGGCAAUGGAGGAAACUCUGACCCAGCGACGCCGCGUGAGGGAUGAAGGCCUUCGGGUUGUAAACCUCUUUCAGUAGGGAAGAAGCGAAAGUGACGGUACCUACAGAAGAAGCACCGGCUAACUAUGUGCCAGCAGCCGCGGUAAUACAUAGGGUGCAAGCGUUGUCCGGAAUUAUUGGGCGUAAAGAGCUCGUAGGUGGUUCGAUACGUCGGAUGUGAAAAUCAGGGGCUCAACCCCUGACCUGCAUUCGAUACGGUCGAGCUAGAGUUUGGUAGGGGAGACUGGAAUUCCUGGUGUAGCGGUGGAAUGCGCAGAUAUCAGGAGGAACACCGAUGGCGAAGGCAGGUCUCUGGGCCAAUACUGACACUGAGGAGCGAAAGCGUGGGGAGCGAACAGGAUUAGAUACCCUGGUAGUCCACGCCC
rnacentral:rRNA from 1 species